GACGAACGCUGGCGGCGUGCCUAAUACAUGCAAGUAGAACGCUGAAGGAGGAGCUUGCUUCUCUGGAUGAGUUGCGAACGGGUGAGUAACGCGUAGGUAACCUGCCUGGUAGCGGGGGAUAACUAUUGGAAACGAUAGCUAAUACCGCAUAAGAGUAGAUGUUGCAUGACAUUUGCUUAAAAGGUGCAAUUGCAUCACUACCAGAUGGACCUGCGUUGUAUUAGCUAGUUGGUGAGGUAACGGCUCACCAAGGCGACGAUACAUAGCCGACCUGAGAGGGUGAUCGGCCACACUGGGACUGAGACACGGCCCAGACUCCUACGGGAGGCAGCAGUAGGGAAUCUUCGGCAAUGGACGGAAGUCUGACCGAGCAACGCCGCGUGAGUGAAGAAGGUUUUCGGAUCGUAAAGCUCUGUUGUAAGAGAAGAACGAGUGUGAGAGUGGAAAGUUCGCACUGUGACGGUAGCUUACCAGAAAGGGACGGCUAACUACGUG
rnacentral:rRNA from 1 species